rnacentral:tRNA from 1 species
AGUUCCGAGGUGUAUACCGUCAUGUUAGAUUGCAAACCUUAAGAAGUAGAAUAGUUCUCUGCCGGGGCUU